ensembl:lncRNA
AGGCCUCUUAGCAACAGGGAUGUGAGUGUCAUUUACAGGUUCUGCAACCCGGGAGAGGUGCCCUGCCAGAACCAAUCUACUCAUUGGCUUCUGAGUUCCUGGCUGGUGUGAACUGUGGUCCUUGCUGAGUGACUGAGAAGGUGUCUCCCCCGCCACCACCAUCCUGAGUGAGAGCAGCUAUCAGGUCACCACAAGUUCAUUGAAGUUGAUUUUACCUUGGGUGUGGGGCUUGUUUGGAGUGAUUGUGCCUGGAGCAAAGAAGCCCUCCUGGAGACAUCCGGUCUUCUGCUGUCCUCAUAGCCACAGUGUUAUCAGAGAGGUCAGAAAGUAUCCAAACAAGGAGGCUGUGGGAAGGCAAUCUGAUCGGCUUCUGGAGAACAGCCUGGCUCCGUUCCCCACUCCACGCUACUAGAUGGGAAGGAAAGAACCUGCCAUUCAAAACCAGAACAGCCUGUUCCCUGUGUGCUCACUCAUUCACAGAGCAGAACACCAAGAUAUCUGUUGGUUUUCUUGAUUUCAUACUCUCGAUUCUCCACGUAACCUUACCUUGAACACCCACUGACGGGGGAAGCCAGAACUGUCUGUUGCUGUCUGUGGUGUAAAUGCUGCCUUACACAGCAAAAAUUACCCUCUGGAGGUGCGAUUGAAUUGUGGGUCUCGUAGUGGAGACAACCUGGAAUGUGCAGGUGAGCUCAAUGUAAUCACAAGGUUUCUUCUCAGAAAGACAGAAGGAGCAGAGGUAGUAGGAGGAGACAUGAGCAUGAGGGGAUGGAGGGAAUGUUGCCAGUCUUGAGAAGAAAACGGAUCCUCCCCAGAAACUUCCAGAAGGAGUCAAUCCUGGAGAUACAAUCUCAUCAGUGGAAAUGACUUCAGACAUUUUAGAUCUGGAAGUGCAGGGCUGUAUAUUUGUGCUGUUCUGAGUCACUAACUUUGUGGCAAUCUGUUACAGCAGCAACAGGAAACUAAUGUGCCACUUGACUAAACCAUAAGCCUACUAUUUGUGUGUUCCCUUCUAAAAGAUAGAAAAAUAAGAACACAGAGCACGUGACAGUGAUUCCUGUUAGCUUAGCAUUGUGGAAA